GACGAACCGUGCGAACGUUAUUCGGAAUCACUGGGCUUAAAGCGCGUGUAGGCGGGACGGCACGUCGGCCGUUGAAAUCCCCCGGCUCAACCGGGGAAGGGGCGCCGAUACGACCGUCCUGGAGGAACGUAGGGGGAGCUGGAACUUCCGGUGGAGCGGUGAAAUGCGUUGAGAUCGGAAGGAACGCCCGUGGCGAAAGCGAGCUCCUGGACGUUUUCUGACGCUGAGACGCGAAAGCCA
rnacentral:rRNA from 1 species